GACGAACGCUGGCGGCGUGCUUAACACAUGCAAGUCGAACGGGCCUUGUCCCCUUUUUUUUUGGGGGUGGGGUUAGUGGCGAACGGGUGAGUAACACGUGAGUAACCUGCCCCUCACUUCUGGAUAACCGCUUGAAAGGGUGGCUAAUACGGGGUGUUCUGGCCUGCUCGCAUGGGUGGGUUUGGAAAGAUUCGACCGGUUUUGGUUGUUUUGUUGGGGGAUUGGCUCGCGGCCUAUCAGCUUGUUGGUGGGGUGAUGGCCUGCCAAGGCUUUGACGGGUAGCCGGCCUGAGAGGGUGGGCGGUCACACUGGGACUGAGACACGGCCCAGACUCCUACGGGAGGCAGCAGUGGGGAAUAUUGCACAAUGGGCGCAAGCCUGAUGCAGCGACGCCGCGUGAGGGAUGGAGGCCUUCGGGUUGUGAACCUCUUUCGCCAGUGAAGAAGGUCCUGCUCUUUGUGGUGGGGUUGACGGUAGCUGGGUUAAUGAAGCGCCGGCUAACUACGUG
rnacentral:rRNA from 1 species